rnacentral:rRNA from 1 species
ACAGGUGCUGCAUGGCUGUCGUCAGCUCGUGUCGUGAGAUGUUGGGUUAAGUCCCGCAACGAGCGCAACCCUUAUCCCUAGUUGCCAUCAGGUAAAGCUGGGAACUCUGGGGAGACUGCCGGUGAUAAACCGGAGGAAGGCGGGGAUGGCGUCAAGUCCUCAUGGCCCUUACAUCCCGGGCUACACACGUGCUACAAUGGCAGGUACAGAGGGCUGCGAAGCCGCGAGGUGGAGCGAAUCCCAGAAAACCUGUCUCAGUCCGGAUUGAAGUCUGCAACUCGACUUCAUGAAGGCGGAAUCGCUAGUAACCGCGAAUCAGCAGGUCGCGGUGAAUACGUUCCCGGGCCUU